rnacentral:rRNA from 1 species
AUUGAACGCUGGCGGCAUGUUUUACACAUGCAAGUCGAACGGUAACAGCACUUCGGUGGCUGACGAGUGGCGCACGGGUGAGUAAUACAUCGGAACGUGCCUAGUAGUGGGGGAUAACUACUCGAAAGAGUAGCUAAUACCGCAUGAGAUCUAAGGAUGAAAGCAGGGGACCUUCGGGCCUUGCGCUACUAGAGCGGCUGAUGGCAGAUUAGGUAGUUGGUGGGAUAAAAGCUUACCAAGCCGACGAUCUGUAGCUGGUCUGAGAGGACGACCAGCCACACUGGGACUGAGACACGGCCCAGACUCCUACGGGAGGCAGCAGUGGGGAAUUUUGGACAAUGGGCGCAAGCCUGAUCCAGCAAUGCCGCGUGCAGGAUGAAGGCCUUCGGGUUGUAAACUGCUUUUGUACGGAACGAAAAGCCCUCUUCUAAUACAGGAGGGUCAUGACGGUACCGUAAGAAUAAGCACCGGCUAACUACGUG